CGCCCAGCUUGGCGGAGACCGGUUUGCCAACCACAUUGGCAAACACGCUCCGCGAGCCUUGCGCUGAUAAGAAAAUCAGGAUCUGCCGGCAUUUGCGCCACGGCGCAGGAUCAGCUGUUGUUUUGUGAUGAUUGUGACAGAGGCUACCACAUGUACUGUCUGAGCCCACCUAUGUCUGAACCUCCAGAAGGAAGCUGGAGCUGUCAUCUGUGUUUGAGACAACUGAAGGAGAAGGCCUCAGCCUACAUCACCCUCAAUUAAUCUGUAGAGCUAGCUUUGCGUGCCUCUCAUCCUUUUGGCCCUCCAUCCUGUCCCAAACAUUCCCUCCGUCUGUCUGUCCGUCGGCUGCCCUUUUCACGGAGUGCCGAUGCGCCUCAGCGUUCGAACCCUGCGACCUUUGACUCAGCGCAGGACCCCAGCAACUUCCAUCUGAACAUCUUCUGAGGAGAGCUAUGCCGUAACUUUCGCCGUCCAUUUGUCAUUCACACUCCUCGGCUGUGAAUGGACGACAC